CCGAUGAUCCGCCCGGAAAUUGACGAACAUUAGUUUAAAACCCAAAGGACUUGGCGGUGCUUUAUAUCCACCUGAGAGGAGCCUGUUCUAGAACCGAUAAUUCCCGUUAAACCUCAUCCUCCCUUGCUCUACCCGCCUAUAUUACCACCGUCGUCAGCUUACCCUGCAAAGGCCCAAUAGUAAGCAAAAUUGGCACAGCCCAAAACGUCAGGUCGAGGUGUAGUGGGAUGGGAGGGGAAGAAAUGGGCUACAUUUGCUAGCCAUAGCAAAUACGAAUGAUGCAUUGAAACAUGCAACUUGAAGGAGGAUUUAGUAGUGAGCAAAAAUUAGAGUGUUUAGCUUGAAACCGGCCCUUAAGCGCGCACACACCGCCCGUCAACCAAAAAAAAAA
rnacentral:rRNA from 1 species